UACGAAGGGGGCUAGCGUUGUUCGGAUUUACUGGGCGUAAAGCGCACGUAGGCGGAUCGAUCAGUCAGGGGUGAAAUCCCAGAGCUCAACUCUGGAACUGCCUUUGAUACUGUCGAUCUGGAGUAUGGAAGAGGUGAGUGGAAUUCCGAGUGUAGAGGUGAAAUUCGUAGAUAUUCGGAGGAACACCAGUGGCGAAGGCGGCUCACUGGUCCAUUACUGACGCUGAGGUGCGAAAGCGUGGGAGCAAACAGG
rnacentral:rRNA from 1 species